UACGGCGGGCGCGAGCGUUACCGGGAUUUAAUGGGCGUAAAGGGCGUGUGGGCGGCCUGGGGCGUCCCAUGUGAAAGGCCACGGCUCAACCGUGGAGGAGCGUGGUAUACGCUCAGGCUAGACGGUGGGAGAGGGUGGUUGAAUUCCCGGAAUAGCGGUGAAAUGCGCAGAUACCGGGAGGAACGCCGAUGGCGAAGGCAGCCACCUUGUCCACAUGUGACGCUGAGGCGCCAACGCGUGGGGAGCAAAUCGG
rnacentral:rRNA from 1 species